UACGAAGGGGGGCUAGCGUUGUUCGGAAUCACUGGGCGUAAAGCGCACGUAGGCGGAUCUUUAAGUCAGGGGGUGAAAUCCCGAGGCUCAACCUCGGAACUGCCUUUGAUACUGGGGAUCUCGAGUCCGGGAGAGGUGAGUGGAACUGCGAGUGUAGAGGUGAAAUUCGUAGAUAUUCGCAAGAACACCAGUGGCGAAGGCGGCUCACUGGCCCGGUACUGACGCUGAGGUGCGAAAGCGUGGGGGAGCAAACAGGG
rnacentral:rRNA from 1 species